rnacentral:lncRNA from 1 species
CCUCUCCAUCCCCACUAAUUUUCACCCCAAAUGAACUGCCCCUUUCCCUGCAGAGACAUAGUAGCCUUUCUAUCUCUUCAGGGGUAAGUGUCGUGGAAUUGGUCUCAAGUUGAUCUGAGGAUAUCUUUCUUUCUUUCUUUUUUUUUUCUUUCUUUCUUUCUUUCUUUCUUUCUUUCUUUCUUUCUUUCUUUCUUUCUUUCUUUCUUUCUUUCUUUCUUUCUUUCUUUCUUUCUUUCUUUCUUUCUUUCUUUCUUUCUUUCUUUCUGUGACUUGCCCAGGG